rnacentral:rRNA from 1 species
CCUACGGGUGGCAGCAGUGGGGAAUAUUGCGCAAUGGGCGAAAGCCUGACGCAGCGACGCCGCGUGAGGGAUGAAGGUCUUCGGAUCGGAAACCUCUGUCAGCAGGGAAGAACGGUCACUGUGCUAAUCAGCAGUGAAUUGACGGUACCUGCAAAGGAAGCACCGGCUAACUCCGAGCCAGCAGCCGCGGUAAUACGGAGGGUGCGGGCGUUAAACGGAAUUACUGGGCGUAAAGCGCUCGUAGGCGGUAUGUCAAGUCAAGGGUGAAAUCCCCGCGCUCAACGUGGGAACUGCCUUUGAAACUGGCAAACUGGAGUGUGUGAGAGGAUAGUGGAAUUCCAGGUGUAGGAGUGAAAGCCGUAGAUAUCUGGAGGAACAUCAGUGGCGAAGGCGACUAUCUGGCACAUAACUGACGCUGAGGAGCGAAAGCGUGGGUAGCAAACAGGAUUAGAUACCCCUGUAGUC